CCUGUCUCUGUUCCUUGCCCUCGAGUUUCCCCAGGUCCCAUCUCUCUGGGCCCAUAGUGAGCACAGGGCUGAAGGCAGGUGACUUCCCGUAACAGAGACAAUCUCAGGCUACAAAGCUCAGAUCCAGGUUUCCUGGAGUUUGGGGGUUGCUGGGCUCAGGGUCUGGGGAUCUGGGCCCAUUUCUCACCCCUCCUUUCCCCAGCAGGGAGGACGGGGUGUUUCAGAAGCUGGAGCCGGGGUUUGCGGAGCUGGAGAAGAGACUCAGCGAUUUCUCUCUGCAAAGCGCCCACUUGCAGGAGGUGCUGCUGGGAUUCAAAGAGACGCUGCGACUGGAGCUGGGGAGCAACACAGGCUGCAGAAUAACAUCCCCGGGUCCCUCCAGACUCUCCCAGCCUGCCCGGGGAAGGGAAAUGGAUGCGGCAGAGCUGGCUCAGGGGCCAGUGACCUUCGAGGAGGUGGCUGUGUAUUUCACCA